ACUACUUCCGGCUCGCUGCCAUUCCCUCUCAGUGGUCCCCAAAACAGCCAAGUACAAUGCCAUACCAUCCAAUUGGACCAUCCGGAGUCACCACACUUUACAAAUAAAUAAUGAAUAAAGGCUGGAUGACCUUCUGGAGGCAAUAAUCCCAGGAUUGUUUCGAUUCUCAUAAGAUGGACAUGAAAAGCCCAGUACAUGAAAUAUGGAUACUUAGUGUAAAGAGCACAAGCAUUCCCUAAAGAUUAGCAUUUUGAGUGCACUGCCGAAAUUCACAAGGCUGUAAUCCAUGCGGAUAAAGGGAAUGUAUUUCUAUACCAUUUUCCAUCAUUCAUUAUUCAAUUUUUAAAGGGAGAAACACUGCAUCUAGAUUU